CCUCAUGAGGGCAGAGUAGAGAGGGACAGUCAUCUCCCUGUCCCUGCUGGCCACCCCUCUUCUGAUGGAACCCAGGAUACUAUUGGUCUUCUGUACUCAUGUCCAGCUUUUCAUCCAGCAGGACCCCCAUGUUCUUCUUGCACCAUUUACUACUAUUCUAUUGACUACUAUUAUAGUACUUACAACUGCAUGUAACAAAAACGGAUGGAAAAAGUCGUACAAGUUAUAACAUUCUUAUCAAAGGCCCUUGAUUCUGCAGCAUCUGUGAAAAUGGUUAAAUGAAGCUAUAUUAUUUUUAAAAAUGUGACUGUUCUCUAUGCCAAAAUCAUUGGAAUUUUUUAAAUUUGGUUGGAUAAAAAAUAGAUUUUUUGAUUAUAAAGUGGGUGUUCAACAUAUGUAUUAAAAAGAAUCCUUUAAAAUCUAGUAUUAUGUAAUUCAGUGGUAAUUUGUAAUUCACAGACAUUAAGACCUCUACAGAAACACUGGUCUUAGUUUUAGAAUUUUCUGAGUGCUUAAGUAUGGAAUCUAGUAUUCAGUUGUCAUAAUUUUAUCCAGAAAAUGCUCUCUGAUAAAAAUUUAUUUUAAAUAUGCCUUUGAUGAUAAGAGUUAGAAAGCAGCUUUUUUCUGUCUGAAAAACAAAUGUCAAGGAAAUAGAUGAUGGGAUAGAAAUGCAGCAGUAUUCCAAUAUCUCUACAUAUUUUUGACUCAGUAGAACUUUGUACAAUUUGUACGCGAAUCUUGACAUUGUUUUCAUUUCACAUCAGCUUUAGCAGAAUGAACUUUACAUGAGAAAAGGAGGAUGUCAGUUAAUAAAAUACUAGUAUUUAUUUAUUUAUUUAUUUAUUUAUUUUAUUAUAACCAGAAGUAGGCUACAUAAAGGAGGAAUUUUGUCCGCACUGGACGAGUGUUGUGGUGACUGAAUUUUGUUGUUCCUGAAAUUUGUUGUUCCUAUGCUGGAGGAACCAAGACUGUUUGUGGGCUCCUGGAAGUGCGUGAUCCCAGGCUACGUCCUAAGUUCAGCUAUGUCAGCAAAGUUGGAGACAAUGGCAUGUGAACUGUUAUAAUUCACACCAAAAGAAAAGAAAGGACAAAAAGAAAAAGAAGGUACCAGAAGUUACAGAACCCAUCCCCAGUCCACCAAGAAAGGUUUAUCACAUUCUGUUUAUGGCUAAAACUGCACUGAAAUGUAUUUUCAAUUAGACACAGAUGUACACUGACAACAGUAUGAUGACAGUUCAAUUACCAUAAUACAUUCAACAUAGACUACACUUGUGAAUUUGUGA